rnacentral:rRNA from 1 species
UACGUAGGGUGCGAGCGUUGUCCGGAAUUAUUGGGCGUAAAGGGCUCGUAGGCGGCUUAACAAGUCCCGUGUGAAAUCCCUCGGCUCAACUGAGGAACUGCACGGGAAACUGUUUGGCUUGAGUUCGGGAGAGGGAAGCGGAAUUCCGGGUGUAGCGGUGAAAUGCGUAGAUAUCGGGAGGAACACCAGUGGCGAAGGCGACUACCUGGCCUGUUCUUGACGCUGAGGCGCGAAAGCUAGGGGAGCAAACGGG